rnacentral:rRNA from 1 species
GACGAACCGUGCGAACGUUGUUCGGAAUCACUGGGCUUAAAGGGCGCGUAGGCGGACCACCAAGUCCGGGGUGAAAUCUUUCGGCUCAACCGGAAAAUAGCCUCGGAGACUGGCGGUCUAGAGGGGGGUAGGGGCAGCUGGAACUUCCGGUGGAGCGGUGAAAUGCGUUGAUAUCGGAAGGAACGCCGGUGGCGAAAGCGAGCUGCUGGACCUUUUCUGACGCUGAGGCGCGAAAGCCAGGGGAGCAAACGGG